GACGAACGCUGGCGGCGUGCUUAAUACAUGCAAGUAGAACGCAGUUGCGAACGGGUGAGUAACGUGUAGGUAACUGCCUCAUAGCGGGGGAUUAAUUUCGGAAACGAUAGCUAAUACCGCAUACUGUGAGCUGGACCUGCGUUGGAUUUGCUAGUUGGUGAGGUAAAGGCUCACCAAGGCGACGAUACAUAGCCGACCUGAGAGGGAGAACGGCCAAACUGGGACAGGGACACGGCCCAGGAGCCCAAGGGGAGCAGCAGUUGGGAAUCUUCGGCAAUGGACGGAAGGCUGGCCGAAGAACGCCGCGUGGGUGGAGGAGGGUUUCAGGUCGGAAAGCUCUGUUGUGAGGGGAGCGGUAACUAACCAGAAAGGGACGGCUAACUACGUGCCAGCAGCCGCGGUAAUAC
rnacentral:rRNA from 1 species